GAUGAAGAACGUAGCGAAAUGCGAUACGUAAUGUGAAUUGCAAAUUCAGUGAAUCAUCGAGUCUUUGAACGCACAUUGCGCCCCCUGGUAUUCCGGGGGGCAUGCCUGUCCGAGCGUCAUUGCUGCCCUCAAGCACGGCUUGUGUGUUGGGCCCCGUCCUCCGAUCCCGGGGGACGGGCCCGAAAGGCAGCGGCGGCACCGCGUCCGGUCCUCGAGCGUAUGGGGCUUUGUCACCCGCUCUGUAGGCCCGGCCGGCGCUUGCCGAUCAACCCAAAUUUUUAUCCAGGUUGACCUCGGAUCAGGUAGGGAUACCCGCUGAACUUAAGCAUAUCAAUAAGCGGA
rnacentral:misc_RNA from 1 species